UUCCUUCGAUAGCUCAGUUGGUAGAGUGGAGGAUUGUAGAUCCUUAGGUCGCUGGUUCGACUCCGGCUCGAGAAA